AAGAGGCAGAGAUGAAGUUCUACUUAGGCUGUUUGUACCUCAGCUCCCUCUCACACAGAAGACUCGGAUGAAGGGCUCUCCGAAACCAGGACCAUGCAUUGCACCAGGAGAAUGGAGGAUAGGGGUUCGCAAGACUACCAAGCAUGGACAGUCAGGGGCUCACCACCUACAGCCCCUCAAGAAGAUGUGUUGGCGGAGUCAGGAGGCCCUGGGAUUCUCCUGAGCCUUCACUUGAGAUAGGCAAAGGGUCCAGGAGUUCACAAGGAUCUCCCUGUGUAGCCCAGAAUGGCUUGGAACUCAAUGUCCUCCCCCAGGAUUACAAGCACCAACCCCACACCUAGCAAAACUCCCCACUUAUAAGGGGGCUCCCAGUCCUGGAGAGAUGGCUCUGUGGGUUAAGAGCACUGACUGCUCUUCCAGAGGACUUGAGCAACCACACGGCCGCUAACAACUGUCUAUAGCGCCAAGACCGGCCACCCUCACACAGACAUACAUGCAGGCAACACCACC
rnacentral:lncRNA from 1 species